UACGUAGGUGGCAAGCGUUGUCCGGAUUCACUGGGCGUAAAGCGCGCGCAGGCGGCUACUUAAGUCUGGGGUGAAAACCCGGAGCUCAACUCCGGGAUGGCCUUGGAUACUGGGUAGCUUGAGCAUCGGAGAGGCAAGGGGAAUUCCACGUGUAGCGGUGAAAUGCGUAGAUAUGUGGAGGAACACCCGUGGCGAAGGCGCCUUGCUGGCCGAUUGCUGACGCUCAGGCGCGAAAGCGUGGGGAGCAAACAGG
rnacentral:rRNA from 1 species